GUCUCUGUAGCACAAUUGAUAGUGCGUUGGACUUCUAAUCCAAAGUUCGUGGGUUUGAAUCGAACCUGGGAUG